rnacentral:misc_RNA from 1 species
UAAGUCGUAACAAGGUAACCGUACCGGAAGGUGCGGCUGGAUCACCUCCUUUCUAAGGAGCACCACGAAAAGCACUCCAAUUGGUGGGGUGCGAGCCGUGAGGGGUUCCCGUCUGUAGUGGACGGGGGCCGGGUGCACAACAGCAAAUGAUUGCCAGACACACUAUUGGGCCCUGAGACAACACUCGGUCGAUCCGUGUGGAGUCCCUCCAUCUUGGUGGUGGGGUGUGGUGUUUGAGUAUUGGAUAGUGGUUGCGAGCAUCUAGAUGAGCGCAUAGUCCUUAGGGCUGAUGCGUUCGUCGAAAUGUGUAAUUUCUUCUUUGGUUUUUGUGUGUAAGUAAG